GCGUGAAUGGGGUAGUGGUAACCUUGGUCGUUGCCAAUAAUCGACUAGCCAGGGGUUCAAUUCCCCUUUCACGCA
rnacentral:tRNA from 1 species